rnacentral:misc_RNA from 1 species
UUCUUUACUGGCUUGUUUCCUCUGG